GAUGAACGCUGGCGGCGUGCCUAAUACAUGCAAGUCGAGCGAAGCGGGGACGGGUGAGUAACACGUGGAUAACCUCCUAUAAGACUGGGAUAACUUCGGGAAACCGGAGCUAAACCGGAUACUUAUAAUUGAAUUUGCGCUGCAUUAGCUGGUGGGUAAGGUAACGGCUGACCAAGGCAACGAUGCAUAGCGGACCUGGGAGGGUGAUGGGCCACACUGGAACGGAGACACGGUCCAGACUCCUACGGGAGGCAGCAGUAGGGAAUCUUCCGAAAGGGGCGAAAGCCGGACGGAGAAACGCCGCGUGAGUGAUGAAGGUCUUCGGACCGUAAACCUCGGUUAUUAGGGAAGCGGUAACUAAUCAGAAAGCCACGGCUAACUACGUGCCAGCCGCCGCGGUAAUUC
rnacentral:rRNA from 1 species